ACGGGUGAGUAACGCGUGGGAAUCUACCUUUUGCUACGGAAUAACUCAGGGAAACUUGUGCUAAUACCGUAUGUGCCCUUUUGGGGAAAGAUUUAUCGGCAAAGGAUGAGCCCGCGUUGGAUUAGCUAGUUGGUGAGGUAAAGGCUCACCAAGGCGACGAUCCAUAGCUGGUCUGAGAGGAUGAUCAGCCACACUGGGACUGAGACACGGCCCAGACUCCUACGGGAGGCAGCAGUGGGGAAUAUUGGACAAUGGGCGCAAGCCUGAUCCAGCCAUGCCGCGUGAGUGAUGAAGGUCUUAGGAUUGUAAAGCUCUUUCACCGGUGAAGAUAAUGACGGUAACCGGAGAAGAAGCCCCGGCUAACUUCGUGCCAGCAGCCGCGGUAAUACGAAGGGGGCUAGCGUCGUUCGGAUUUACUGGGCGUAAAGCGCACGUAGGCGGACUUUUAAGUCAGGGGCGAAAUCCCGGGGCUCAACCCCGGAACUGCCUUUGAUACUGGAAGUCUUGAGUAUGGAAGAGGUGAGUGGAAUUCCGAGUGUAGAGGUGAAAUUCGUAGA
rnacentral:rRNA from 1 species